rnacentral:lncRNA from 1 species
GGAGGAGCAGAGAAGACACCGUGACAGGGCAAGACAGAAUACUGUUUUCUGGCCAUCUUACAGAAUAUGGAGCUGAUUGAUUUGACUACACUGUCUGUCCGCUGAGUUCUCGAGACCUACCUGCCUCCUUCUUCUGACUCCAGCUACAUCUGCACUCUACCUUGAUAUAGGCUCAGGGGAUUGGAACUCAGCUCCUUGAGCCUCCAGAGCUAGCAUUUCACCCACGAUUCAUCUCCCCAUCCCCCGUGCUCAUGUUUGCGGUGCGUUAGAAAAAAGUUCUUGAAAUUACGAUCCUUAAAUAAGAAGCGAUUACAUCUGGUAUCAGCCAGAGACUACCGACAGGUACCCC